GACGAACGCUGGCGGCGUGCCUAAUACAUGCAAGUCGAACGAACCGCGACUAGGUGCUUGCACUUGGUCAAGGUGAGUGGCGAACGGGUGAGUAACACGUGGGUAACCUACCUCAUAGUGGGGGAUAACAGUCGGAAACGACUGCUAAUACCGCAUAGGACAUAGGAUCACAUGAUUCUGUGAGGAAAGGUGGCGCAAGCUAUCGCUAAGAGAUGGACCCGCGGUGCAUUAGCUAGUUGGUAGGGUAAAGGCCUACCAAGGCGAUGAUACAUAGCCGACCUGAGAGGGUGAUCGGCCACAUUGGGACUGAGACGCGGCCCAAACUCCUACGGGAGGCAGCAGUAGGGAAUCUUCCGCAAUGGACGCAAGUCUGACGGAGCAACGCCGCGUGAGUGAAGAAGGUCUUCGGAUCGUAAAGCUCUGUUGUUGGAGAAGAACAGCGCAUAGAGUAACUGUUAUGCGUGUGACGGUAUCUAACCAGAAAGCCACGGCUAACUACGUG
rnacentral:rRNA from 1 species